AACGUAGGAGACAAACGUUAUCCGGAGUUACUGGGCGUAAAGGGCGUGUAGGCGGUUAGUUAAGUCUGGCGUGAAAGCUCUCGGCUAAACCGGGAGAGGUCGUCGGAUACUGGCAAACUAGAGGACGGUAGAGGCGUGUGGAAUUCCGGGUGUAGUGGUGAAAUGCGUAGAGAUCCGGAGGAACACCAGUGGCGAAGGCGACACGCUGGGCCGUACCUGACGCUGAGGAGCGAAAGUGUGGGGAGCGAACAGG
rnacentral:rRNA from 1 species